ensembl:lncRNA
UCCCAAAGCUAGACUUCUAAGGAAAAGUAACUUGCCAGUCCCCUUAAAAUAUGUAACUAAAAGCUAUCUACACUUUUAUAUUUUAAAUAUAUUGUUGGGGCUUCAUUUCAAAUUGGUAUACUGUAAAACUGUUUCAGAUAGCUUUAAAUCCAAGGCAGUGGCUUUCAAACUCCUUUGACAGCAACUUACAAAAAAAAAAAAUGAAAUAAUUUUUAUAUAAACCACUAUACAGACACACACACACACAAAACUAAUACAAAAGUUUUAUGAAACUUUACUUCCCCUUAUUACAUGUGAUACCCUCUAAUAUUAUCUACUCCAUUUUGUUUCAUUGUUUAUUAAGUGCUUGUCAUAAUCUAGUCACAUAGGUCAGGACGUGCAGUUUGAAAAACACUCUUCUCAAAUUAUGGAUUCCACGUACUCUAGCUGGUAGUCUCUUGUCCAGAUUUUUAAAAGGCUCAUCAAAAAGCAGGAUUUGCUAAAGGAACUUCAGUCCCCAUUACAGCACUGUCUUUGGGAUUCCUACCAUAAGUUUCCAGAUGAAUAAGCAGCUUUUCCUUUGCAGAAUUGUGAUGUAAGUUCAAGAGCAAGUGCACAGGACGUAAAAUAAGAAUAGAGUUGAAAAAGGAGGAACAUCUCCAAAUGCAAUGUGUGUCCCUCUGGAAAACAUAAAGCAGCCUAGAGUGAGGUGAGGGAGACAAAACAGAAAAAAAAACUAACAGAGAAAAGAUCAAGCUUGCAGCAUCAUAUCUCCAGGCUUUGCAAGGUGCACUUGUACUUUCAACCCCAUGAGACAGAGUGAUGUUCAGCAUGACUCCACUAAUCAUGUGGCCUUGAGUAUCUCAGCAGACAUCAGUUAAGUCAUUUAAAAGGAUAACUGCAACUUAAAUUAGUUCAUCCUAUUUAUGCAAAAAUGGUAAAUUCAAAUAAGCAAGGUAAUUUGCUUCUAUUUAUUUCAAUUUUAAAAUUUUUUUAAUCACUUGGCAUCUCAAAUCAAAGCAAAUGGGUAAUAUUAUCAAUUAUAUCUUAAAUACGUAAACAUAUGAACUGAUUUAAAACUCUUAUUUGAUAUGCACUUGUUAACAUUUGCACUAGAGUAGGGAACCACAUUCAAGACUUAAAACUUAAAACAGGGUCAUGUCCUUGAAAACAAAAGAACGUCGUCAGAAAAGCCCCCUUGUGAGAAUCUAGCAACAGAGUGAGUCCCUAAAAUCUGUUAAGCUAUUCCACAGGGAAAGUAUGGUAGAUCACACUAGUAAAGGCAAAACUGUGGAAGCUUAUGAAAUAUUUAUCAAGGGAAAUGUUUGAUAAAUAAUAAAAAUAUUCAGUUUUAGGAAGGAGUAUGAUGAGCUUCAACAUGGUUGCACUUAUGAGCACAGAACUUUCAUAGGAAAGAAAGAAGUAGAAAUUUAUUGAGUAUGUUUUGUCAGGCAUCACUAAAUACUUUCAAAUACAUUAUAGCAUUGGAAACUGGGAAUCAGAGAUGUUAAGUAACUUGUCCUAGGUCACACAGUGAUAAAUGACAGAGCUAGAAUUUAAACUUGAUCUUCUAAUUACACAUCAGUUUUUUUUCACGUUGAUAAUCAUUUUAUCCUGAAGCAGUACUCCAGAUAUGAUAAUGCUUAAAAUAUUUGCUUAAGCAUUUCCUAGGAUUUCUGAUCAAGGUGAAUUCAGAUUUCAGUUUCAAGGCUAAUGAAUGAUAAAGUGAUCUUUAAAAUAAAGAAAAUAGAUUAUAAAUAUGCAUGCAUUCUGAGUGGCAUAUGAAUCUCUCAAACAUUUGAUGAAGUGUUCUUCACGUCUCAUGUAAGGAUGAAAGAAAUUAUCUAUUGUGUAACAAACCACACCAAAGUGUAGUAGCUUAAAACAGGAACUUUUUUUUUUUUAAAGAUUUUAUUUUUUCCUUUUUCUCCCCAAAGCCCCCCAGUACAUAGUUGUAUAUUCUUCGUUGUGGGUCCUUCUAGUUGUGGCAUGUGGGACGCUGCCUCAGCGUGGUUUGAUGAGCAGUGCCAUGUCCGCGCCCAGGAUUCGAACCAACGAAACACUGGGCCGCUUGCAGCGGAGCGUGCGAACUUAACCACUCGACCACGGGGCCAGCCCCAAAACAGGAACUUUUUAUUGUCUCUUAUUGUUCUGUGGGUUGGCUGUGGUUGGCCUGACAGUUCUCUCCUGGGGUCUCUUAGGAAGUGCAGUCAGAUGUCAGCUGGGACUGCGAUCAUCUAUAGGCUCAACUGGGCUGGACUUCAAGAUGGUUCACUUCUAGGAUGGCAGGGGAUGCUGGCUAUCUUACUUGGGGCUGCCAACUUGAGGGCCUACAUGUGGCCUCUUUAUGUGACUUGGGCUUCUCUCAAAGUGAUGGCUGGGUUCCAAAAGAAAGCAUCCCAGAAGAAAUGUUCCAAAAGACCUAGGCUUCUUAUGGCUUAGCUUCAAAAGUCCCAGAAACUCUCUUCCACAGCACUCUGUUGGUUGAGCCAGUCACUGAGGCCUAGGCAGAGGGACGUAGACUCUGCCUUUUGAUAUGAGAAGCAGCAGGCAAUAAGGGAGGGAGGGAGACUGCCCAUCUCACCUUAGUCUUUAGCCUCCCAUCCUGGCAUCUCUACUUUAUGCAACUGAGUUAGAAGGGGAAAUAUAUAAUACAACUACAAUAACACAAAUUAUUGUGUGGUGUUUUCCUAUUUUUUUGGCACUGUCUCUUUCUCUGGAAGCACAGCCCUUCUUAAAUGAAUGAAUAAAUGAAAGUCUCUGGUCCUCCCCUUCCCAUUCUACUCUUUUGUUCCCUCGUUGCCUCUCUUCUGUUUUCUAUCCUUCUUUCUAACUGAAGAUAAAGGGUGUAAAAACAUUUUUUUUUUAAAAGAAGCAAUGUACUCUAAUCAGUUAAUUAACCUUAUGGUUAAUUUCUCCCCAAAUCUACCAUUUGAUAUCUGCCUGACUGAUUCAAUCAUCAUUCUAUAUAGGAAGGUAAUAAGAUAAUUUCUUUAAAUGCAGGCAAAGGAACAAGAGGGAAAAACGGGAAAGAAAAAGUAGGUUACCAAAGGAGGAAGGAAAAUAUAAAUGGGAAGUGAAACAAAUCAGGAAGGUUGAAUGAUAUUAAACCCAAAAGGCUGAAAAAACAAAAGGAAAGAAGCCAGAUUCUCCCCUUAUAAUACUGUGUCCAUCCUGCCUUCCUUUCCAGUCCAUUGCCACCCAUCACUAGCCGAGUCUAACCUUGUUUCUUAAUGCCUGAAUUAUUGCUGUGUCAUCUUACCUACUCUCCCUGCCUACGGUCUUUAUCCUCUUAGAAACCAUCAAAAGCACCAUUUUCCUCAUGGUGCUCCCAAUUUAAACAAAAAGAAAAAAAAGAAACACUAAAUGACUGCUGAAGAAUGAAAUCCAAUAUAAGCAUUUGAAUGAUUUUCAUAAUCUGACCUAACCUUCCUUGCCAUUGUUUCUCAAGUCUUCCCUACAUGAAACUAUUGACUCAACCAGGACGCUCUACUCACUGAAUCCAAAUACACAGAAAAAUGAGCCUAGAUCCCACUGUUUAUUACAUCAUGAAAAAUAUCAAACCUGAAACAAGGAAAAAUAAUUAAUAAACAGCAAAAAUCUGUUUCACAAAGCAGUGUGGCAACAUUGUAAGCUUAUAAUUACAGCACUUGUGGUCCAGAUCACUUCUUAGGCAUACAGCCUUCUUUUUGUCUUCUGUCCUUUGCUCUAACAGAUCCUAUCACCAGGAGUUUUCCCUGCUGCUGUCUGCCUUAGCAAAUCCUGUCUCACCGGAACCCGCAAGAAGUCCUCCUCUUCAUGGAAACUGAUGAUCCUUCCUCUUGCCCAUGAACCCACCUGGAGGAGUCAAGCCCAGCAUGGAUGCCAGAGUGCCAAAGGUGAAAAGCAGGAAAGCCAAAAUACUCAUCAAGACCAAAGGGGGAGCACAGAGCCAGAAGCUGGGAGGAGAAAGGGAGUCAAGAAAGUCAAUGCCAGAAGAGUCCUUCAUCUUGGUUUAACUUUAAGAAGUCAAAUGGAUGCAUGAGAAAGCUCCACAGACCAAAUCCAAGAUCUUAGCCAAGCCCCAAAGUAGCCUGUUACACAUUCUUCUGGAAGUAAUGACUGUACUAGCUUCACAUCUUCAUAACUAAAAAGGGCCACUUGAAGGGCCCAGAACAAGGUUUGCACAAAGGCACAAUGAUUUCUGCUACCUCAAUAGAUGCAGAAAAAACAUUUGACAAAAUCAAAAUCUCUUCCUGAUCAAAAUACUCAUCAAACUAGGAAUACAAAAUCCUCAACUUGAUAAAGAGCAUCCAUGGAACCCCACGGUGCACAUCAUACUUAAUGGUGAAAGUCUGCAUGUUUCCCCUAUGAUCAGGAACAAGCAAGGAUGUCUGCUGUCACCACUUCCAUUCCACAUUCUACCUGGUGGUUCUACCCAAGGCAACCGGACAAGAAAAAGAAAUAAAGACACCCAGAUUGGAAUGGAAUAAGUAAAUCUAUAUUUCCAGAUGACAUGAUCUUGUAUAUAGAAAAUCCUAAGGAAUCUACAAGGACCCUAUUAGAGCUAAUAAAUGAGUUCAGCAAGGUUUGAGGCUACAGGUCAAUGUGCAAAAAGCAAUUAUGUUUCUAUACACUAGCAAUAAACAAUCUGAAAAUGAAAUUAAGAAGGAAAAUCCCAUUUACAACAGCAUCAAGAAGAACAAAAUAAUUAGGAAAAAAUUAAUAAAAGAAGUACAAAACUUGUACUCUGAAGAUAUAUGUAUGGGAUAUGAAGAAUUGAGAACAUUCAUCCUCUGCUGAAAGAAAUGUAAGUUGGUAUCACCACUUUGGAAAGACAGUUUGGCAUGAUAGUAAAACUGAAUAUGCACAAACCCUUCAAUUCUGCAAUUCUGUUCCUCGGUUUAUACACCAGGGAAUAUGUACACAAAUGAGCAAGAAGUCACAUUCAUAAUAGCCCCAAACUGAAAAAAAACGUGCAUAUGCAUUAGUGAUGAGCUGGUUUAGUAAAUCGUGACAUAGUCAAACAGUGGAACACACUGUAUAACCAAUAAUAUGAAUAAACUACGGCUAAAAAAGCAUAUCAAAACUAUAAUUCUGAUUAAAAGAAUUAAAUCUACAUAACUCCCAUUUACAGAAAGUUUAAAAACAAGAAAAUUCAGUAAUACAUUUAUAAUAUAAGGAUAUAUACACAUAUAAUAAAAAUAUGCAUGGAACUGACCCUGUGGCCCAGUGGUGAAGUUCCCAUGCUCUGCUUCGACAGCCCAGGGUUUGCUGGUUCACAUCCUGGGCAUGAACCUAGCAGCACUCAUCAAGCCAUGCUGAGGCAGCAUCCCACAUAGAAGAACUAGGAGAACCUACAACUAGGAUAUACAGUUAUAUACUGGGGGACUUUGGGGAGAAAAAAAAAGAGGAAGAUUGGCAACAGAUGUUAGCUCAGGGCCAAUCUUCCUCACCAAAAGAAAGUGAUAUAAUUUAAAAAUAAUAAUAAAACUAUGCAGAAAAGCAAGAGAAUGAUUAACCUAAAAUUAAAGUUGAAGGGUGUCAGAAGGAGCACAAGACGUCUUCUGGUGAACUGGCAAUAUUCUGUUUCUUAACCUAGAUAUUGGAUAGUGUGAUGGUUAAUUUGAUGUGUCACUUGACAGAACUAAGGGGUGUAUUUGUGGGGAUGAUUUCAGAAGAGAUUAGCAUUUUAAUUGAUAGACUGUGUAAAGAAGAUGGCCCUCCACAAUGAGAGUGGACGUCAUCCAAUCCUUUGAGUGCCCACAUGUAUGGUAGUCCCCCUUUUCUGUGGUUUUGCUUUCUCAGGUUUUGGUAACCUGAGGCCAACCGAGGUCUGAAAAUAUUAAAUGAAAAAAACCAGAAAUAAACAAUUCAUAAGUUUUAAAUUGCAUGCCAUUCUGAGUAGUGUGAUGAAAUCUCACACAGUCCCACUCCAUCCUGCCAGAGAUGUGAAUCAUCCCUUUGUCCAGCAUAUCCACACUGUAUACACUACCUGCCUAUUAGUCACUUAGUAGCCAUCCUGGUUCAGUGCUUGCAUUCAAGUAACCCUUAUUUUACCUAAUAAUGACCCCAAAGCACAAGACUAGUGAUGCUGGCUAUUGGGAUAUGCCAAAGAGAAGCCAUAAAGUGCUUCCUUUAAGUGAAAAGAUGCAAGUUCUAGACUUCAUAAGGAGAGAAAAAAACUAUAUGCCAAGGUAGCCAAGAUCUUCAUUAUGAAUGAAUCUUCUAUCUAAGAAAUUGUGAGGAAGGAAAAAGAAAUGCUAGUUUUGCUGUCACACCUCAAAUAUGUAUGUAUAGGAAAAAACAUAGUAUACAUAUAAAGUUUGAUACUAUCCAUGGUUUCAGGCAUCCACUGGGGGUCUUGGAAUGUAUCCCCAUGGAUAAGGUGUGAUUACUGUAAUGGAAAGGCAGAGGAAGGGCAAUUCCUUCUCUCUGCUUGAGCUGGGACAUCUAUCUUCUCCUGCCCUUGGACUUUGGUGCUCCUGGUUCUCAGGCCUACAUGCUUGGACUGGAACUAUAUCACUGGCUUUCCUGGGCCUCCAGCUUACAGACAGCAUAUUGUGGGACUUCUCAGCCUCUGUAAUCAUGUGAGCCAAUUCCUCAUAAUAAAUUUC